rnacentral:rRNA from 1 species
AUUGAACGCUGGCGGCAGGCCUAACACAUGCAAGUCGAACGAGUGGCGGACGGGUGAGUAAUGUCUAGGAAACUGCCUGAUGGAGGGGGCUAACUACUGGAAACGGUAGCUAAUACCGCAUACCAUCGGAUGUGCCCAGAUGGGAUUAGCUAGUAGGUGGGGUAACGGCUCACCGAGUCGACGAUCCCUAGCUGGUCUGAGAGGAUGACCCGCCACACUGGAACGGAGACACUGUCCAGACUCCUACGGGAGGCAGCAGUGGGGAAUAUUGCACAAUGGGCGCAAGCCUGAUGCAGCCAUGCCGCGUGUAUGAAGAAGGCCUUCGGUUUGUAAAGUACUUGCAGCGGGGAGGCGUUACCCGCAGAAGAAGCACCGGCUAACUCCGUGCCAGCAGCCGCGGUAAUAC